GACGAACCGUGCGAACGUUAUUCGGAAUCACUGGGCUUAAAGCGCGUGUAGGCGGGAGGGCACGUCCGUUGCUGAAAUCCCCCGGCUCAACCGGGGAACGGGCGCGGAUACGACUCUCCUUGAGGGGCGUAGGGGGACCUGGAACUUCCGGUGGAGCGGUGAAAUGCGUUGAGAUCGGAAGGAACGCCCGUGGCGAAAGCGAGGUCCUGGAUCCAAACUGACACUGAGGCGCAAAAGCGUGGGGAGCAAACAGG
rnacentral:rRNA from 1 species